GAAAUACUCCCUCUGUCCCAAAAUUCUUGUCUUAGAUUUGUCUAAAUACGAAUGUAUCAAGUCACGUUUUGGUAUUAGAUACAUCCAUAUCUAGAAUAAUCUAAGACACGAUUUUUGGGGCGGAGGGAGUAUAAA
rfam:Triticum aestivum genome assembly, contig: Triticum_aestivum_CS42_TGACv1_scaffold_578556_7BL